rnacentral:rRNA from 1 species
UGGGGAAUAUUGCACAAUGGGCGAAAGCCUGAUGCAGCAACGCCGCGUGAGUGAUGAAGGUCUUCGGAUUGUAAAGCUCUGUCUUUGGGACGAUAAUGACGGUACCAAAGGAGGAAGCCACGGCUAACUACGUGCCAGCAGCCGCGGUAAUACGUAGGUGGCGAGCGUUGUCCGGAUUUACUGGGCGUAAAGGGUGCGUAGGCGGAUGUUUAAGUGAGAUGUGAAAUACCCGGGCUUAACUUGGGUGCUGCAUUUCAAACUGGAUAUCUAGAGUGCAGGAGAGGAGAAUGGAAUUCCUAGUGUAGCGGUGAAAUGCGUAGAGAUUAGGAAGAACACCAGUGGCGAAGGCGAUUCUCUGGACUGUAACUGACGCUGAGGCACGAAAGCGUGGGUAGCAAACAGGAUUAGAUACCCUGGUAGUCCACGCCGUAAACGAUGAGUACUAGGUGUAGGAGGUAUCGACCCCUUCUGUGCCGCAGUAAACACAUUAAGUACUCCGCCUGGGAAGUACGAUCGCAAGAUUAAAAC